UCCACGCCCUAAACGAUGAGAACUAGAUGUUGGAGGGAUUUUGCCCUUUAGUGUCGUAGCUAACGCGAUAAGUUCUCCGCCUGGGGAGUACGACCGCAAGGUUAAAACUCAAAUGAAUUGACGGGGGCCCGCACAAGCGGUGGAGCAUGUGGUUUAAUUCGAUGCAACGCGAAGAACCUUACCUGGUCUUGACAUCCUCGGAAUCUUCCAGAAACGGAAGAGUGCCUUCGGGAACCGAGAGACAGGUGCUGCAUGGCUGUCGUCAGCUCGUGUCGUGAGAUGUUGGG
rnacentral:rRNA from 1 species